rnacentral:rRNA from 1 species
UACAGAGGGUGCGAGCGUUGUUCGGAAUUAUUGGGCGUAAAGAGCUCGUAGGCGGCUUGUCACGUCGGGUGUGAAAGCCCGGGGCUUAACCCCGGGUCUGCAUUCGAUACGGGCUAGCUAGAGUGUGGUAGGGGAGACUGGAAUUCCUGGUGUAGCGGUGAAAUGCGCAGAUAUCAGGAGGAACACCGGUGGCGAAGGCGGGUCUCUGGGCCGAUACUGACGCUGAGGAGCGAAAGCGUGGGGAGCGAACAGG